AUUGAACGCUGGCGGCAGGCUUAACACAUGCAAGUCGAGCGGGGGAAGGUAGCUUGCUACUGGACCUAGCGGCGGACGGGUGAGUAAUGCUUAGGAAUCUGCCUAUUAGUGGGGGACAACAUCUCGAAAGGGAUGCUAAUACCGCAUACGUCCUACGAGAGAAAGCAGGGGAUCUUCGGACCUUGCGCUAAUAGAUGAGCCUAAGUCGGAUUAGCUAGUUGGUGGGGUAAAGGCCUACCAAGGCGACGAUCUGUAGCGGGUCUGAGAGGAUGAUCCGCCACACUGGGACCGAGACACGGCCCAGACUCCUACGGGAGGCAGCAGUGGGGAAUAUUGGACAAUGGGGGGAACCCUGAUCCAGCCAUGCCGCGUGUGUGAAGAAGGCCUUAUGGUUGUAAAGCACUUUAAGCGAGGAGGAGGCUACUUUAGUUAAUACCUAGAGAUAGUGGACGUUACUCGCAGAAUAAGCACCGGCUAACUCUGUGCCAGCCGCCGCAGUAACAC
rnacentral:rRNA from 1 species